AUUGAUUAGCUGGAGCAUUUUUCUAGCAGCAUUUCCCAGUUUUUCCAUCUGAAAAGAUUCUCUUCCUAUUUCAAUUGUUUCUCUAUUUAUCAUUAAUCUUCCUAUCAUCAUCAUUAUCAUCAUCUUAGACCGAUUCUUUUGGCCAGACUUGGCUCAUAUGAAAAAGGGCCAUGAGUACAGCAAGGUUCUGGAACAGCUUCUGAAGCCUGAAAAGUUCCUUUUGUAUCACUCUUAGAAAAGCUGGAUUCCUAGAUUCCUUUAUCUGUUUCGGCAUUAUGUUUUCCAGGACUUGAAUUUUGGUACUUACCAGGCAAGUAGCCUUGUUAAUGGUGUCUGCAUCAAAACCUGAGAUUUUUGCAUCUUCCAGGAUGUUAAGCAUCACGUCCAUGAAGUCCUUUUCUUCCUUCUCCUUACCACUUAACUUUCGCCUUUGUUUAUGUUCCUCUAGCCACCCUUCCAUCAGAAUGUCCAAUUCCUUAGCAGUUUUCUUCAUACUUUUCUCAUAUCCUUUAAAAUCCAACCAACCAAGAUAUGGUAUUGCAUCGGACAACACAAAAACUCCAAACAAGAAGGCAAAAUCUCUUAUCACUUUCCGACGUCUCUGCGCUUCUCCUUCCUCCACAUCAGCAUUCGGUCCAAAACAUCGCUUCCCUCCCACCGUUCUCAAAGCAACAUUAUGUGUCAAGUCUCCAAACCACUGUUUCAUAUCCACCAACGUACCACUUUCUUUACUGCCUUUGCCAACCCAUUUCUCGUACAGUUUCCCUAUUGCAAUCUGCACUUCUGAAGUUCGUAUAUGCUUUAGCAUAUCAAUUCUAUGAGUUGAGAAAAGCUCGAUUGUCGCUAUUUUACGCAUCUCGCGCCAGUAGUCCCCAUAAGGGGCAAACCCAAACAUGGCAAAGUCGUAGCCUAGCAGCUUUGAAGCAGCAAUGAUUGGUCUACUGGAGAAAACUCUAUCAUGUGAAGUGAAACAUUCCCUUGCCAUCUCCCAACUAUUUACCGUUAAAACUCUGUGCGAACCGAGUUUUAUGGUGAAGACAGGACCGUGCUUAUCAGCCAUGGCUCCUAGUGUUUUGUGAGUCAACUGAUGGCCACCAAAGAGAUGCAUAUGGCCAAUUACAGGCCAAGCUCCACCAGCUUGAGGCACAGUGCAUCUACUAUUUCGCUUUGAGUGAUAAAAAUAGAUAGAGAAUAAAAGGACAACAGUAAAGAUCAGGGUUAAUAAUAGUUGGCGAAAAAAGUCCAUCUCAGGUUGCAGAAAUGAAGGAAGGAAGACAGAUUGUUGGUCUCAGAAAUUUAUAUGUAUUAUUUUGAUUUCAUUUUUCUAGGAUGAUAAUAAUUAUAGCCAACCUUGGGGACCAUUAUGCAUAUAAGUCACAUAAAAUAUCCUACAUACUAUGCAGAAUAGUCCUUUCUUGCCAUCUGUUGCUCUCACAUGGAUAUUUAUAUAUAUAUAUACAUUUCACAUCAA